UUUCCUUCCGCAUGAGUCUUGAACUUUAGUACGUAAUUCUAUGCAGCAUCUGUAUUUUAUUUCACAAUAUUAUACUUCUUUCUAAUUUUUUUCAACAAACUUCAAAUGAAAAAUGAUUAAAUAACCUCAGAUAUAAACAUCAAAUUAUACUAAUCUAAUUUUAACGGUUAUUAUAUUAUUUUUAUAACCUGUGAUUUCUAUUAAUUCGUUAAAUUACAUUUUUAUUUAAUAAAAUUAAUUGAAAAGCUAACUCGUAAUGAAAAACUUAAAAGCUAAUUUAUUAAAUUAAAAAUGUUUGAUUUAAUUAUUAAAAUAAUUAAAAAUAUAAAAUAAUAAAAUAAACAUAUUUAUAUUCUACUAUUUUAUGCUAUAUUUUUUAUGUUAAAUAUUCUACUAUUAAUAUUAUAUUGUUUCUUAAAAUAUUUUUAAUCAAGUUUAUGAUAAUAUAAGAAAAUACAUAUAAGUAGAUAUUAUACUUGUAUUAUUUUAAUUAGUGUACUAGUUAAAAUAAAUCAUAUAUCAUCUAUUGUAAAAUUAUUCAAAAAAAAAUAAAAUACAACAUAUAGUGUUGAAAUAAUAAAUUAAAUUUAUAAGUGGUACAAUGGUUAAAAUAAAUAUUGUAACAUAAAAAAAUAUAAAAUAUAAUAACAAAAAAAUAAAUCUAUCAUUUAUCAUUAUCAAUGUCUUGAUUUAUAAUCCUAAAUAAAAUAAAUAGUAUAAUCAUUAAAUUAAGAAUGUAAUCAUAAUAUAAAAAAUAAAAUAAUCAAUCCCUAUGUUUCUUUUUUAUUGUUUUUCUUUUUUUACUCUCAAUGUGAAACAAAAUGGAAGGUCUGCAUGUUGAAGAAAAAGAUAAGACGACGAAACAAAUGAAUGAGUAAAAAAAGAAAAAUAAUAAAACUCUGAUUUAUUUAAAAAGAAUAAUAAAAGAAUUUGAUAAAUAUAUUAAAGAUAAAAAAGAAAAAGAUAUAUAAAAAAUAAAAACUAAUGUUUUAAAAAAUAUUACUUUAAAUAGAAUUUAAAAAAUAUAAACUAAUAAGAAAUUACUAAAAAAACAUUACUUAUUAAUUAUUGAACAAUCAAAUAAACUUUUCAACAAGUAAAAAAAUUAAAAACUAAAUAAAAUAUUUUGUCAAACAUAAAUUUAGUGCCUGAUUUGGUUGGCAUGCAAACUUGCAGACUGUAUGGUUUAGUAGUCAUGAACAAAUCUCACCAUGCGGCUCUAAGCCCCACCGGCCUGGUGAAGCAAACCACCGCCGGUUGGAGCCACUAUUGAUGGAGGAAAUGUCACCGGAGGCCGGAGCUUGGGAGGCUUUCAAAAAUCAUUGGUGUUGAGUAUGGAUGAAAAAUUGAAAAUGGCGGACGCUAAUAACUUUGAGUUGAAUAUAUAACAUUCAGAUUAAAAGGACAUUUUUCACAUGAAUUGUAGCAAUUUAAACUGAUCAGAAUGACAG
rnacentral:lncRNA from 1 species